rnacentral:rRNA from 1 species
UACAGGGGGUGCAAACGUUGCUCGGAAUCAUUGGGCGUAAAGCGCGCGUAGGCGGUUACUUAAGUCGGAUGUGAAAGCCCUCGGCUCAACUGAGGAAGUGCAUCCGAAACUGAGUAGCUUGAGUACGAAAGAGGGUCGCGGAAUUCCCGGUGUAGAGGUGAAAUGCGCAGAUAUCAGGAGGAACACCGGUGGCGAAGGCGGGUCUCUGGGCCGAUACUGACGCUGAGGAGCGAAAGCGUGGGGAGCAAACAGG